UAGGUUACCUGCCCUCUGGUGGGGAAUAACCCGGGGAAACUCGGGCUAAUACCGCAUAUGGUCUACGGAUCAAAGCCUUCGGGCGCCAGAGGAGGGGCCUGCGGCCCAUUAAUUAAUCCUAGUUGGCGAGGUAACGGCUCACCAAGGGUACGAUGGGUAGCUGGUCUGAGAGGAUGAUCAGCCACACUGGAACUGAGACACGGUCCAGACUCCUACGGGAGGCAG
rnacentral:rRNA from 1 species